AGAGGGGAGGGGCGCCUGGGUGGCUCAGUCGGUUAAGCGUCUGACUUCAGCUCAGGUCAUGAUCUCGCUGUUAAUGAAUUUGAGCUCCGCGUCAGACUGUGUGCUGAGAGCUCAGAGCCUGGAGUCUGCUUUGGAUUCUGUGUCUCCUUCUCUCACUGCUCUUCCCCUACUCGUGCUCUGUUUCUCUC